rnacentral:lncRNA from 1 species
UGACUUCGCGACAGAGUGUACCACGAGAGGCAGCUCCAGUGCGCAAGGGUUUACCAAGCCUCUGUUUACAUCCCGCUUGUUAAUGUUCAUGGGUCAAAGCAAGACCUAAAACCAAGCCCAGAGACAAUGUGUGUGGGGGUGGGGGAAGAAGUUGCGCAGGCUGGAGUGCAGUGGUUAUUCACAGGCAUAUGUCUAAAGUUCACUACAGCCUUGAACUCCUGGCUUCAAGCAAUCCUCCCACCUCAGCUUCCUGAGUAGCUGGGAUUGCAGGCGUACACAACCACACUGGCACAGUUUGGCAU